CAUACUCAUUUAGCCCCCGGGGGAAAGGUGGCUCACCCAUAAAAAAUUUGGUCCCGGGCCCUGAGUAUUUUAGUGUUAACCUUGAUCUCAUAGUGUGACCCUCCCAGUCUGAGUCAGGGAGUGAAGCUGAGCAGUGCUGGCGGCCCAGGAAAAUAUGAAUCGACCAGGGAGAAGGGACUGUUUAUAGGGAAGCUUUUGCUCCAUCCAUUCCAAACCAAAUCAGCCCCUUUUGUACAGGAACCAUAUGCAUGUUAUGGAGUCAAGGUACACCAUCGUAAGUGCAGCGCUUUUACCAUCAGACAGGUUGACUGCAGUAAUGUCUGGCACCCGGAGAGAUUGAUCCCAUCUAGUUAUUUCAGCAAUGAACUAGAUUCAACAAAAGGUUGACCAAAUGAAUCAGAGGAGGUUGUAAGUAUUUGUGACACACCACCAGACUACAUGGCACCUGAUGAUGACUGAUAAGCCAUUUCAAGUUGAUGUUAACUGAAACAUUUGUUUGUCAUUGCUGUGGUGGUUAGGGCUGGUAAAAGCCAUACCAGUAAUGUAACUAUGACCAAAUCCCAUUUAAAUCAGCACUUUAUCAGCUUCAGUAGUCACUCAUUAACUUUUAAAUAUAAGAUUAACGGCCCUUAUCCAGGCUUUUUAACUUUUGUGUUUAUGUUUGCUCUUUACUUCUCUUCAAGUGACCUUAUCUGCCCAUGCUGCUGUAGACGUCCUGGGACACCGGUACUCUAAAGAGCGUGAGGCUGUCUGUCAUCACCAGGCGUCGCUUGGCUAUAUCUGGCUCUUUCAGACCUGCCACGUCUCUCAGCAUGCUUUUUGUCUUCCCUCUAAUAACCCGCCGCACAUGUCGAGUGCCUCAGAAUAAGCCGCAGUUGCAGUUUCUAUGCAAUGUGACAUCAUAUCGCACAGGCCCAUCCCACGACUGCUGACGGACUCUGUUCUAUUAGCAUAGUCUCCGUCCUGAGUGAGCUGUACACAGUCCGCCAUGUUUAUCUCCUCAACAGCAGCAUUCAGAACUCCAAAUGAGGCCACAAAAACAUCUCUAAUUUACGUCAUCUGUGAAUUCUGUGGCUGGUGAAAGAAGGAAGAGAGUCUGACCAUCAUGGAAAUUUCUCUAAACAUCUCCACACCACAGUACAAAAAGACUUGCAUGUUAGGAGCGACAUGAGGAGGCCGGGGGGGGGACCCAGGUCAUGGUCCCCCUUCUUCUUUCUUCGGGUGCUGACUUCACUCUCCUCUUCACCGAUGUCUCACCACUUCAGUUUCCUGUUCCACACGCUGUUCUGUCUGCUCCUCCAUCCAGUCAUCCUUGGUCUGGUCUGCUGCUCUGCUCUGUCAGCCAUUCCACUCCACUGCUCCAUCCUCGGUCUGGUCAGCCGCUCCGCUCCAUCCAUCCGCUCUGCUCCAUCCAGUCAGCUGCUCCGCCUCAGUCUCCACUGCUCCAUCCUGGGUCUGGUCUGCCGCUCAGUCUCCACUGCUCCAUCCUCGGUCUGGUCAGCCGCUCUGCUCCAUCCGGUCAGCCGCUCUGCUCCAUCCGGUCAGCCGCUCCGCUCCAUCCGGUCAGCCGCUCCGCCUCAGUCUCCACUGCUCCAUCCUCGGUCUGGUCAGCCACUCUGCUCCAAGAUCUGGCUGGAUUUGAACCAGUGACCUCUGGCAUUGUGUGCCAGUGCUCUACCACCGAGCCACAGAUCUCUUACUA